GACGAACGCUGGCGGCGUGCUUAACACAUGCAAGUCGAACGGAGAGGCCCUGCUUUUGUGGGGUGCUCGAGUGGCGAACGGGUGAGUAACACGUGAGUAACCUGCCCUUGACUUUGGGAUAACUUCAGGAAACUGGGGCUAAUACCGGAUAGGAGCUCCUGCUGCAUGGUGGGGGUUGGAAAGUUUCGGCGGUUGGGGAUGGACUCGCGGCUUAUCAGCUUGUUGGUGGGGUAGUGGCUUACCAAGGCUUUGACGGGUAGCCGGCCUGAGAGGGUGACCGGCCACAUUGGGACUGAGAUACGGCCCAGACGCCUACGGGAGGCAGCAGUGGGGAAUAUUGCACAAUGGGCGGAAGCCUGAUGCAGCAACGCCGCGUGCGGGAUGACGGCCUUCGGGUUGUAAACCGCUUUCGCCUGUGACGAAGCGUGAGUGACGGUAAUGGGUAAAGAAGCACCGGCUAACUACGUG
rnacentral:rRNA from 1 species